rnacentral:rRNA from 1 species
UAGCGAAGGGGGCUAGCGUUGCUCGGAAUCACUGGGCGUAAAGCGCACGGUAGGCGGAUUGUUAAGUCAGGGGUGAAAUCCUGGAGCUCAACUCCAGAACUGCCUUUGAUACUGGCGAUCUCGAGUCCGGGAGAGGUGAGUGGAACUGCGAGUGUAGAGGUGAAAUUCGUAGAUAUUCGCAAGAACACCAGUGGCGAAGGCGGCUCACUGGCCCGGUACUGACGCUGAGGUGGCGAAAGCG